rnacentral:rRNA from 1 species
UACGGGGGGGGGCAAGCGUUGUUCGGAAUUACUGGGCGUAAAGGGCUCGUAGGCGGCCAACUAAGUCGGACGUGAAAUCCCCAGGCUCAACCUGGGAACUGCGUCCGAUACUGGAUGGCUUGAAUCCGGGAGAGGGAUGUGGAAUUCCAGGUGUAGCGGUGAAAUGCGUAGAUAUCUGGAGGAACACCGGUGGCGAAGGCGGCAUCCUGGACCGGUAUUGACGCUGAGGCGCGAAAGCCAGGGGAGCAAACGGG